UUAUCUUAGAACUGUUGUUUAACCAUGGUGCCAGUGUGAACACGGUGAACUACAUGGGUGAAACACCAUUGCACGAAGCUGCAUUUCGGGGUCAUGAUGUUAUAUUAGAACUGUUGCUUAACCAUGGUGCCAGUGUGAACGCGGUGAACAAAAUGGCUGAAACACCAUUGCACAAAGCUGCAUCUCGGGGUCAUGUGAAAUGCAUUAAGGUUUGUUUCUCUCGUGAGAUAGUCAAUGUUCAGCAGCUCAGUCAAUCCUCAAAAUUUUUGGUAGAAAUAGGCAAAGAGAUAAUGCCGCUGAAAAUUGAAUAAACAAUAUCAGUUUUUUGCGGGGACGGUGGAACGAUGUGUGUGUGUGUGGGGGGGGGGGACAGAUUUUUGAGGUUGAACCCUUUUCAAUGGGUUCAUAAUCCCCGAGCCGGCGGCGCCAAGCGCCGUGCGAGGGUACUAAUUCUGCACGGCUAAUUAUACCCAGGUAUGUGAAAACAUAGCGGAGUGCAAAGUUGUCCUCCAUUUUGUUUAUGUCAUGGACGGUUUUCGACGUUAUUCGCGUGCGCGAGUGCAAACUGUCGAAGUAAUUGUUUUUCAUUUUGAAAGGACGUAUUUUGCUGUUUUACAGCAAGAUUUUGUUUUAAAUUUUGUUAAAAAGUUUACAAAAGUACAACACGUUUUUGUUUCUCGGUUUUAAAUGGAAAUAAGCCCGCAAUUUUAUGAAUUAGUGGCUGUUCAACCGUGAAACAAAGUUUGUAUAAUAAUUGUUUUUAAUGUUGAUAUCUUUGUCCCUUUGAUAAUUUAAUCGUUGUUGUGCCAGUUUGGAUAAGUGUAAACAUUUCAGUAGUAAAAUUCCAUGCCGUACUUGCUUUGUGUUGUCGGUUUUAUUCAUAUCUGUCGAAUUUUUAAGCCAUUCGUAACUCGAUAAUUCACUUUAAUGCAAGCUGGUAUGCAUGACAUUGCAGAGAAUGUUAUCGUUCAUUAUAAAGCUAGCGCAUCAGUUGGUGUGUUAUUUUUGUUUAUAUGUAAUGGUCUGAAUACUUUAUGUGGAGUUUUUAUACUUCAUCUGUUAAGUCUUAAGAAAAGCGAAGGGUUGCUGCAUGCAUGUAUUUUCUAGUUUGUAAUUUUCGCCUGAUGAAGCGAACAUGUAAUGAUUUUUUUAAAUAUCUCAAAUAUUCCCCGAAUAUCAAAAAGGGUACCUUUGCUCCUGUUGGGAAACGCAAUGCCCCUCCCCUCUUCAGCAUCCCUGUUUUUUUGUAAUGACAUUUGCAGAACUGUCAAUUCCGAUGGCCUCCUGGUUUUGGAGGCAGCUCAAGGUAUGAAUGAUGUAAUCACGGUAUGAAAAUGGUUCAUGCCAGUUCAAAGAAUCGGUUUCCACAAUAAAUCGUAUCAUAAAUUUUUCCACACAAAUUUAUUUGGGGGGAGGGGCUUUUGAGCUAGGUCUCCCCUGCCCCCCUCUCGGCGGCACUGGAUGGGGCGUGCCAAUUACAUGAUGAUCAUGCUUCCCCCCAUUCUUGCAUCACUGCUAUUGUAACUUCCAGGUUUUUGAUCAUUUAAAUUUGGCAGCCUCAGAUUUGUUAUACUAGCCAGCCACUAGGUAAACAUUUGGGGGUUUUUUUCAAUUAAUGAUAUCCUGUAUAAUUCUUUUUAGGUGUUGUUGAAAAAUGGUGCAAACAUCAACGCGUUGAACAUAGUCGGUAGAACUGUGUAUGAAACUGCAAUGGAACACAAACAUAAAGAAUUAGCCGAGUGUUUAAGAAAUGCAGGUAUUUAUAAAACUGUAAGAGGUUGCUGGUUAUGUGAACCACGGGCGGAUCUACCAGUG
rnacentral:lncRNA from 1 species